rnacentral:rRNA from 1 species
UACGUAGGGUGCGAGCGUUAAUCGGAAUUACUGGGCGUAAAGCGUGCGCAGGCGGUUCGUUAAGUCAGAUGUGAAAGCCCCGGGCUCAACCUGGGAACUGCAUUUGAAACUGGCGGGCUUGAGUGUGGCAGAGGGGGGUGGAAUUCUCGGUGUAGCGGUGAAAUGCGUAGAUAUCGAGAGGAACACCUGCGGCGAAGGCGGGUAGCUGGGCCGACACUGACGCUGAGGCGCGAAAGCCAGGGGAGCGAACGGG